rnacentral:rRNA from 1 species
AGUGAACGCUGGCGGUAGGCCUAACACAUGCAAGUCGAACGGCAGCACAGUAAGAGCUUGCUCUUACGGGUGGCGAGUGGCGGACGGGUGAGGAAUACAUCGGAAUCUACUUUUUCGUGGGGGAUAACGUAGGGAAACUUACGCUAAUACCGCAUACGACCUACGGGUGAAAGCAGGGGAUCUUCGGACCUUGCGCGAUUGAAUGAGCCGAUGUCGGAUUAGCUAGUUGGCGGGGUAAAGGCCCACCAAGGCGACGAUCCGUAGCUGGUCUGAGAGGAUGAUCAGCAACACUGGAACUGAGACACGGUCCAGACUCCUACGGGAGGCAGCAGUGGGGAAUAUUGGAAAAUGGGCGCAAGCCUGAUCCAGCCAUACCGCGUGGGUGAAGAAGGCCUUCGGGUUGUAAAGCCCUUUUGUUGGGAAAGAAAAGCAGCAGGUUAAUACCCCGCUGUUCUGACGGUACCCAAAGAAUAAGCACCGGCUAACUUCGU